GAUGAACGCUGGCGGCGUGCCUAAUACAUGCAAGUCGAGCGAACAGACGAGGAGCUUGCUCCUCUGACGUUAGCGGCGGACGGGUGAGUAACACGUGGAUAACCUACCUAUAAGACUGGGAUAACUUCGGGAAACCGGAGCUAAUACCGGAUAAUAUAUUGAACCGCAUGGUUCAAUAGUGAAAGACGGUUUUGCUGUCACUUAUAGAUGGAUCCGCGCCGCAUUAGCUAGUUGGUAAGGUAACGGCUUACCAAGGCGACGAUGCGUAGCCGACCUGAGAGGGUGAUCGGCCACACUGGAACUGAGACACGGUCCAGACUCCUACGGGAGGCAGCAGUAGGGAAUCUUCCGCAAUGGGCGAAAGCUGACGGAGCAACGCCGCGUGAGUGAUGAAGGUCUUCGGAUCGUAAAACUCUGUUAUUAGGGAAGAACAAAUGUGUAAGUAACUAUGCACGUCUUGACGGUACCUAAUCAGAAAGCCACGGCUAACUACGUG
rnacentral:rRNA from 1 species